AAGAAGCGAAGGAUUUGAAAAGAGACGUUUGGCGGCAAUUCACCCCCCUUGCCCCCCCAACACCCUCCAACAACCAGGCGGUCCCUUUU
ensembl:ncRNA F08G2.14 ncRNA